UACGUAGGGAGCAAGAGUUGUUCGGCGUUACUGGGCGUAAAGCGCGUGUCGGCGGCUUGGCAAGUCGGAAGUGAAAGCCCCCGGCUCAACUGGGGAAUUGCUUUCGAAACUGCCAGGCUUGAAUGCGGGAGGGGAGAGCGGAAUUCCUGGUGUAGCGGUGAAAUGCGUAGAUAUCGGGAGGAACACCGGUGGCGAGGGCGGCUCUCUGGACCGCGAUUGACGCUGAGACGCGUAAGCGUGGGGAGCAAACAGG
rnacentral:rRNA from 1 species